AAACUUUAAAACUAUUGAAUUAAAAAUAUAAAUUGAGAGCUAAGUAAAAGUAGUUAAAGAUAAAAGAUGUGUGUGUGUGUGUGUGUGUGUGUGUGUGUGUGUGUGUGUGUGUGUGUGUGUGUGUGUGUGUGUGUGUGUGUGUGUGUGUGUGUGUGUGUGUGUGUGUGUGUGUGUGUGUGUGUGUGUGUUUGACAUGAUAAUCAUGGCAGUAACUUCCCCUGCUGCCUGGUGAUUAAGAGACCUCAAUGUUGAUGGAUGGAUCACACAGCAUUGAAAAAAAAAUCUAUAAAUGAUGUAUAAUUUAUGUAUUAUCGUUCACCAGACAAUUGCAUCAUUAUACAUCAUACUAAGCUAAAGAAAAGCAUUGAAAAAUAGUUAUUAGGUACAGUGCUGAAUUGAUCUCAUGAUCUUGGUCAUAUGAUGCAACUGUAACCAAUCCACUGCUCAACUGAACAACAGUGGCUGGCUGUGGUCUGUACUUAGUAGUAAUUCAUACACAGGAAUUUGAUGUGCUUUGGUAUCAUCCUAACUUAGAUUGACCGUUUGAAUAUUCCACAGCAUAUAACUUUUGUAAGUGAUCAGGUAUAGCAUCAUUGUGGUGUUGGAGGGGAGCAUUUUUUGACAUGGCUUGUGAGGGGUUUUGCAGUGUGAUACAGUGUGUUUAUGCGUGAAUGUGUGCACAUAUUUUCUUGAUUGCUGGCUUUAGAUUGAGAAGGCACAGUUGAUGACACAGUUCUUGUAUACAAAGUAACCAAAGACAGUGUCUGGUAACAACACUAUAGUUGUACAUAAUACUGAUUUUCUAAGUGAAUAUACACUCAUACUGUCAGGAUUGAGAGGUGACCGUAGUCAAAACUCACACCUGCAUUAUGAGUUGCUAUUCAUUAUUAGGAGGAAGGAGUUUACAAGGGAAUAGUUACCAGGUGUCUGCAUGGUUGUUUGAUAUAUACUUGAACUUGUGGAACCAACUACACAUGAUGCUUUAAAGGUAACAUAAAAUUAAUCUUACGGCCAGUAAUGGAGUUCAUCACAUGCCUAAUCUUUUUAUUGGUGGUAUAAAACAUUCCCAGGACCAGCACCCUCAUUUAGUUUUCCUUGUACACAAGAUUUUCUUUGCAAGUAAUCCUCUCCUGUGGAAGAAAUAUAUAAUGAAAUUUAUUUCUUAAUCCUAGAUUGUAUUUAAAAUAUUUUUUUCUCUUUGAAUUUAUAUUGAUAUUUCAUUGAGCUGCUUAUGUAUUUAUUAAGUAUUUGAACAAAGUGUGUGAAUGUGGUGGGUUUUUGCUAUCUUAGUAAAGUAACAGGUAGGUUGGGCCUUUUGUAAUUCAACUUCCCUUUGCCUAACCUCCAUUUGAACCACACCAAAGACAACCAUAGGCGCAGUUUUUACGUGGUAGAUAAGAAAUUUGUUAGAUCUGCAGAUAGUCUUGAUGGCCUUCAAUGGAAUAUCUUAAACAUUAUACAUUUACUAUAGUAUAUUGAAAAAUAUGUAAUUGAUACACUGAUGAUAUCCACGUAGGAGGCUUAUAUAUUUUCUCACCACAGCCCUUGAGGACCAGCAAGAGACUGACCCUUGAGUGUGAUGGUAUGAAAUUUCCAACUUCUCACAACAGACUUGUCUUGCAUUAAGCUAAGCACUCUGUGGCAUUAUAGAGCCAUUUCAGCACUUUGCCAGAUACUAUCAUGUCAAAAGCUGUCAGGUAAAGUGUAGGUUAAGAAAUGCAUUCUUCCUAAGAGUGCCAGUAGAAAAGAUAACUACACUAAAGGUUUGAACAAUUUUGCAGGGUAUUUUGACUUUGCCAGUCAGUGUAAGACAUAGAGCAGCAGUUGUCAUGUAAGAACUGGGUUGAGGAAGUAUGUGCUCCAUACCCAUCUGUGUCCAGCUCCUGGUAGGGCAGUCUCAAUGAGAAGCCUCACACUUGCCCUUCCUUGAUCUGGUAUCACAAGUUGGCUGCAGUUGUGUAUGACUUUAUGUUAUUAAAGUGUAUGAAAUUAAGCAGCGUGUGUUUGCCUUGAUGAAAUGGCUGCAUUAGGCAUUUUUCAAAUGGAAGCGGAGUUUAGUAAGGAUUAGCUACAGCUUAAUUCCAAGGUGCUGGCAUGGUGACAAGUGAAUAUUUCUGCAAAGGGCAUUUCACUGGGCAUUGAGGAUCCAUGUCAUACUAAAUUCUCAAUUUGAUUUCAUCGUCGUCUUGUUUGCCAUUUUUUUUUCUUUAACUUUGCUAAUUUUUCACAUUUGCCCUUAACAGUUCCAUAGCGGCAAAUAACCUUCACUGUUUGGUGCUUCCUUGCUUUUAAUUAAUGUGGGAAUUUAGGGAACAAGAAAAGAAAAAAAAUUGUCGUCUUGAAGUGUAACUUUACGGGAUUACUGUCAUCUUGGAGUCUUGUCGAUCUUUACUUUUUAUAUAAAGAAAUUACGUUUCUCUUUUAAUUAAUAUUAUUAAAAAAACAAGAUAGCUCUUGAAUCCGGCUUUCAUUUGGACACUACACUACGUUCAGCCUCUGAAAAUCUGUCAGCUAGACUGACUGCAUUCUUUCCGUUUAUGGGGGUCACUGCACUAGAUGAUUGUUUCUGUUCUUGGUACAGCACAGGAUCGACGGUAGCUCCUCUCACACGCUUAUCAUUACUUUUUUUUUUUUUUUUAUAAUAAUUUCUUUUCACUCCUUCCUCAUUAAUUAAUAUUUCACGUCUAACAGAAACUAAUAACUUUGGUAUUGAGAGUUAAUCGUUCCUUUUUUUCAACACACACAAAAAAAAAAAUGCCUUAAAUACUAAAAUGUAGUUAUUACCAAAUGGUAUAUAAUCUAGAAUUAAUAAGAAUACAAUCAACCAAAACUAAAAAAUAUAUACACGUCUCAAUAAUGAUGUUACAACAGUCAUUUGACUCCUGGAGUUCAAGCCUAAUCUAACCCAACCUAACUUAAAUAUGCUGCUGCAGUGUAUGAAAAAAAAAAAAAAAAAAAAAUUAUGAAUGAUGACAAUGUGCCGACAGUAGGUAGCGGUUUCCAAGUGUUUUGCCUGGUGUAAAACUUUCACCUUUCUCAUCAUAAAUCAAGAAGACAUAUAUAUAGUCAUAUGAGGUGAGAAAAACGCCUUAUCUAAUCUAAAUCUGAUCCACAUAUGGCUAAUAACUGCUUAGGUGUAGACGCUAUUUUGACUAACCCCUUCAGGACUGUCUCACAUUAUUUUACCCGAUGUUUCCAUAGUUAUAACAUUUUUGCAAUGAUAAAAAAAUACAUUGGGGAUAUCAAAUUAGCUUUAUACUCAUAUUUAAGGCCGAAAAUGCAGAAAUUUUCUUCAAGGAAGGGUAACACUCAAGUUCCCGCUGGUUCCUUGGUGAACACGUGCAGUCACUGCAGUCUGAUUAGAACCUGUGGAUGGGUCGCGUCCACUCCAUCAAUACGGAUGGGAUCCCACAGAUAUUUAUGGGCAGUGUGACCGAGGCUUUAAGAUGCAUUUUCAUCACAUUAUCCAUGUGUACGGAGAGCAGAUGCUGGCCAGUGCAGAGGAAGGAAUCGUAUGUGCACGUGGGAAGAAGAAAGGAAGAGUGUCCGUGAGCGAUUAAUAACUGGUGAGAAGAUGAGCCUGGAAGAUCGACAAACUAUGACAGAAUGGAUUCCGAUAGAGCCCCGUAAUCCGUCAAUGAGAUGCAAGGCACUGAAUGGGAGCGUCUUGUACUGGCAUGAAG